rnacentral:rRNA from 1 species
GAUGAACGCUGGCGGCGUGCCUAACACAUGCAAGUCGAGCGAACACACGAGGAGCUUUCUCCCCUGAGGGUGGCGGGGGACGGGUGAGUAACACGUGGAUAACCUACCUAUAAGACUGGGAUGAUUUCGGGGAACCGGAGCUACUACCGGAUAAUAUAUCGAACCGCAUGGUUCAAGAGUUAAAGACGGUUUUGGUGACAGUAAUAGCUGGAUCCGGGUCGCAUUAGUUAGUGGGUAAGGUAACGGCUUAGCAAGGCAACGAUGCGUAGCCGACCUGAGAGGGUGAUCGGCCACACUGGAACUGAGACACGGUCCAGACUCCUACGGGAGGCAGCAGUCGGGAAUCUUCCGCAAUGGGCGAAAGCCUGACGUAGCAACGCCGCGUGAGGGAUGAAGGUCUUCGGAUCGUAAAGCUCUGUUAUUAGGAAAGAACAAAAGUUUAUGUAACCAUGCACGUCUUGACGGUACCUAAAGAAAAAGCCACGGCUAACUCCGUG